UACGUAGGGUGCAAGCGUUAUCCGGAAUUAUUGGGCGUAAAGAGCUCGUAGGCGGUUUGUCGCGUCUGCUGUGAAAACUGGGGGCUCAACCCCCAGCCUGCAGUGGGUACGGGCAGACUAGAGUGCGGUAGGGGAGACUGGAAUUCCUGGUGUAGCGGUGGAAUGCGCAGAUAUCAGGAGGAACACCGGUGGCGAAGGCGGGUCUCUGGGCCGUUACUGACGCUGAGGAGCGAAAGCGUGGGGAGCGAACAGG
rnacentral:rRNA from 1 species